UACGUAGGGUGCAAGCGUUGUCCGGAAUUAUUGGGCGUAAAGCGCUUGUAGGCGGUUUGUCGCGUCUGCUGUGAAAUUUCGGGGCUCAACCCCGAACUUGCAGUGGGUACGGGCAGACUAGAGUGUGGUAGGGGAGACUGGAAUUCCUGGUGUAGCGGUGAAAUGCGCAGAUAUCAGGAGGAACACCGAUGGCGAAGGCAGGUCUCUGGGCCAUAACUGACGCUGAGAAGCGAAAGCAUGGGGAGCGAACAGG
rnacentral:rRNA from 1 species